UACGUAGGGUGCAAGCGUUGUCCGGAAUUAUUGGGCGUAAAGAGCUCGUAGGCGGUCUGUCGCGUCUGCUGUGAAAGCCCGGGGCUUAACUCCGGGUCUGCAUUCGAUACGGGCAGGCUAGAGUUCGGUAGGGGAGAUCGGAAUUCCUGGUGUAGCGGUGAAAUGCGCAGAUAUCAGGAGGAACACCGGUGGCGAAGGCGGAUCUCUGGGCCGAUACUGACGCUGAGGAGCGAAAGCGUGGGGAGCGAACAGG
rnacentral:rRNA from 1 species